AACAGAGAUAGUACAAUAAUAAUUUCCUUUAUUAUUAUUUAUCUUGCUCCGGUUAGUUGACAGUUUGGCACAAAAAAGACAAAAGUGUUGUUCUUUAGUCCGAUUAGUUAUUUGUGGUAGUUAAUUUCAUGAAAUAGCUAUCUCUUUGAAUUGACUUUAAUUUUUGUCGAGACCGAAGAGACUUGUAAUAUUGUAUGCAUGUCGAUGUCGGUCAAAUUCCAAAAAGCCCAAUAGAGAGAGUGGGAUGAUCUAGACUUUGAAAAAGAUAGCUGAAAUUAUAACAUCAAUUAAAUAUGUAUAAUUAAUACAUCAAUUCUACAUGUUUUUUUUUUGUUUGAUGCCCUUGAGAGUUUACUUAUUCUCA
rnacentral:lncRNA from 1 species